UACGUAGGGCGCAAGCGUUGUCCGGAAUUAUUGGGCGUAAAGAGCUCGUAGGCGGUUUGUCGCGUCUGCUGUGAAAACCUAAGGCUCAACCUUGGGCUUGCAGUGGGUACGGGCAGACUAGAGUGCGGUAGGGGUGACUGGAAUUCCUGGUGUAGCGGUGAAAUGCGCAGAUAUCAGGAAGAACACCCGUGGCUAAGGCGGCUCUCUAGUACGGUACUGACGCUGAGACGCGAAAGCGUGGGGAGCGAACAGG
rnacentral:rRNA from 1 species